GACGAACGCUGGCGGCGUGCUUAACACAUGCAAGUCGAACGGAAAGGCCCUGCUUGCAGGGUACUCGAGUGGCGAACGGGUGAGUAACACGUGGGUGAUCUGCCCUGCACUUCGGGAUAAGCCUGGGAAACUGGGUCUAAUACCGGAUAUGACCUUCCAUGUAGUGUGGGGGGUGGAAAGAUUUAUCGGUGUGGGAUGAGCCCACGGCCUAUCAGCUUGUUGGUGGGGUAAUGGCCUACCAAGGCGUCGACGGGUAGCCGGCCUGAGAGGGUGGACGGCCACAUUGGGACUGAGAUACGGCCCAGACUCCUACGGGAGGCAGCAGUGGGGAAUAUUGCACAAUGGGCGGAAGCCUGAUGCAGCGACGCCGCGUGGGGGAUGACGGCCUUCGGGUUGUAAACCUCUUUCGACAGGGACGAAGCUUCGGUGACGGUACCUGUAUAAGAAGCACCGGCUAACUACGUG
rnacentral:rRNA from 1 species